ensembl:lncRNA
GUAAGCAGGAGAAAAACGGCUUUUCUUUUUUUCUUUUUCUUUUUUUUUUUCGGUACCUGGGAUCGAACUUGGGUCCUUGAGCUUGCGCAGCAGGCGGCGAAACCACUGAGCUAAAUCCCCGGCCCCAAAGUAGCUUUUCUAACGGUGCGGUGUGCACAGUGGACAGGAUAUGCCUGUUGUUUAGUUCACUUGGAAGACACCUUGUCCCAAGGCCAGAGUGAAGGGUUCUCACGCACAGGCCCUGCGGAGCCCUCUCCAGAGACGGAGCCUCCCGCCCCAACCGCAGAUACUAAGUAUUUCAUCCUCUGCUAACGCAGCUGUUCUCAAACUACUUAUUUUCUCUCACAUAAAAUAACAUGAAGGCAAAAAAGACCUUUCAUUUCAUAUUUUAAUUGCUCGAAAAGCUACAUUCUCAGGACUAGCGCUUGAUGAUUACGAUUCACCUUUAGACGGUAAAGACUUCUCUUCUGGCCGACGUAGGCUGCUCUAACCUAAGUCAUGUGCACAUAGAAUAACACGACGUUUAUAAUGCAUCAGACGUUAAGGCUGAGCACUUCACAAGUGUUACCACAUUUGAGGAUUCUUGCAGCAAUCUUUAAAGCACUGGUCCUAUACCUCUUACAGGUGGGAAACUAACACUUCGGGAUGUUGACGAAAUGCACACGUAGCCUACAUGAGUAGUUUUAUUUUUUUUGGAGACAGGGUCUCGCUGUGUAGUUCAGGCUGGCCUUGAACUCGCGGUGAUCCUCCUGCCUCAGCCUCCCGAGUGCUGGGAUUACAGGCGUGGUGCACGCCAGCGGGAGCUAUUUAUUAUUUGAAGUUUUCCACGUUCAUUUUAUAUCCUCUGCCCGAUCUGAUUAAUUCCCUAAAAAACAAGACUGGAACCAAGGCUCUGGGACCAGGGACAGAAAACCAUGCAGAAAGAGGCUGGGAAAGGGAGGCCCCGCCAGCUGCCGUGCCACCUUAAGAAGCCUCGCCCUCCCCGCGCGGAGCAGGGGUGGCUCCUCCCACCCCCGUGUCAGCCGCGGCCCCGAACGUGGAGCUGGGAGGGGAGGCGCGCUGAAUGGAAAGACUGGGGCCGGCGCGGAGGGUCUCGGUAGCCGCGCGCUGCCGGCUGGGCGGCGGUGGGCGAAGCUCCAGCCUCGGGCCUGGGUCCUUCUGGGGGACUUAAGGGAUGGGGAUGAUGAGCUCCCCUGAAAUGUCUGUGGGGUGGAAUGUGAGCCCUGGGCCCAUCUGAGGCCUGGGCCCCAUCUUGGGGCGGGGUCGAGGUGGGGCAGAGCUGGCUGGCCCCGAGCGAUAUUCGGGAAGGGAUACAACGACAACCAGGAGAAAGUUGCAACUUCGCUGGUUCCGGAGGCACCUCUUCAAAUCCUGUCCAAACGAGGGGCAAGUUUUCCAUUCCCCGCCCCGAUGCCCCCACCUUCAUUUUAACUGGCUGUGCUUAGCGGUGGGCUGGGCCCAACCUUGCUCUCUGAUUGGUUGCUUAGGUCAUCCAUCACAGGGUUACGCAGGCGAGAGUGGCCAUUUGGGAGGAAGUGAAGAUUAUUUUGGUACCCCCUACCCCAGCUGAUGAUUGGCUAAGGAUGACAGUGACGUAAAACCGGACCGAAAGAUGGUCACUAAAGGGACAGGCCUAUUGGCCACGCUCAGGGACGAAGUCUAGGGUGGGACGGGGAGAGCCAGCCGGGCUGUGUUAUUGUCAGGAAGGACUACAUCGAUUGAAACCCGGAAAUGAGUGUAAUGGGAGCUGCAGGAAAACGGGGGAAAUCCGCGGCACCUUUGGAUCCCCUACGCCAGGUCAUUUCCUGAAAGGGAUCGGUGGUUUCCUGUUUACUCCGCCCAGGGCGCUCUGGCCCUCUGGAGCCGACUUAGAUUCUCGGGAACCUUUGGUCCUGACUUCCCGUUUCCAGUGCCAGCUAAGGCAAUGUCCACUUUGGUGUUGGACAGGAUGCCUCCUGGUGCUCCUGGCUGUGGCUGAGGAACAAGUGACUUGCUACAUGGACUGGAUUAUCAGAUUUAAAUGACAUGUGGUCUCCAGCAUUUGGGGCUAUGGCCCAGAAGAGAUCAUCCCCCGUGAGUUUUCUACAGUGUGUGGCCCUGGUAAAACUUCAGGGAAGUUGAUACCUCCGCAGGUUGCACACUUUCACCCUGAGGAUGUGGUCCAGGAGCAGUUGAUGGGCUUCUCCUUAUGGAUCAUAAACAUGAACUCCAUGAUUGAAGUGAGGUCUGACACCUGGAAUAUUUUACCAAUGAAGCCCAGCUGGGAAGACUCUAGAAUCAUCCAUUCCUCAGAAGAAAGUUGAAGUGCAAGGUUUUUGACAGUAUUGAGAUAAUUCUUUUUGACAAUGAUAGCGUCUUCGAGCUGAAUGUAAAACACGCCCUUUUCCUGAUAAUCAGUAUCUGUCUCCUGUGAAGACUACUAUAACAGUCCUCCUUCUCUUCGGGGUACAAAUUAUCAAUAAGGGAAUGGAGGGUUUCUAUGAGAUCAGAAGUAAUCUCUCUCUUCCCUUGAGAAUUCCCAUUACUACUGAAACUCUGGUUCUCCCACUGCUGACCUGCACAGCAAGCUGAGACCUUCCUUCAUUUCGCAGUAAGUCAGGCAAAUGAUCAUAAAUACUUGCCACUUGAAGGAGACAUGUUUUGCUUGUUAACUCCAGUAGCUGUAGGGUUAUAUCUGAAAAUCUAUUCGAGGGCCGGGGAUUUAGCUCAGUGGUUCCUCUGCCUGCCUCGCAAGCGGAAGGACCUGAGUUCGAUCCCCGGUACCAAAAAAAAAAAAAAAAAAUCUAUUCGAUGCAUCCUUACUUCCAUUUGUUUCUGCACCUACACGCCAGAACUAUUGUACAACAAUACUUCACUCGGAAGAGAGCUGGGAGAUUCUGUGUCCAGCUAUUCCAAGGCAUUAUUUUAAAGCAAGGAAUUCUCAUUGAUAAGCAAUUAGUUCUUCUUUCCCAUUUUGCCACAUAGCAUUCCAUGAUAAAGUAAGGAACGAAGUGACAGAUGCUAAACCAAUGGCCUGCAUCACACUGGGUCAGAGGUUUGUGAUGACAACCGGGACUGUUUUCUCUUUACCCGGAAGUCAGCAGUAUCCAGUACUCCUGGCUCUCAACCAAUAAGCACAGUCAAUGAGAGGUUCCUUUCAGAUGCUUACAGACAUACCAUUCCCGGUCGCCCCUCAGGAUUGUCUUCGCAGCCUUCAAACACCCAUGUCUCCGGAUAUUUUCCUCCACUGAGCAGUAGAAAUCCCCACUGGCAACAAAAGAUCACAAGAGCUUAGUGAUUUUUAAUCAUUUUUAAUAAAAACGACGACCGCCAUGGCAUCUUGCUCCCCAUGGGCUGGGUCCAUUAUGUGGUUUAAACCUUCACCAAACCCUAUGAGGCCAGCAUUACUAAUAUCAUUUUACACACCCUCAACCUCCUGAGGGCUGGGAUUGCAGGUGUGUGCCACCAUACAAGGCCUUUUUUUUUCUCCUAGACAUAGUCUCACUCAGUUGCCCAGACUGGGCUUAAACUUGUGAUCCUUCUCUCUCAUCCUCCCACCGUGCCUGGACUACAGGACUACUGGUGUGCAUGAGCACACCAGCCUCACUGAAAUUACUGAGCCUCUUCUGUGUGCCAGCCUUCGAGUGAGAUACUUCACAGCCUCAGUCCCUGCCAGGGAACACCCCAGGGCCCCAGCCUACUGUGGAUUUAUCACAAAGGUCCAGCUCCAGGGAAACUGAGACAGUUGUGGCCCUGCCCUAUCCACAGGAGUCUCAAGAGGCUGUGAAGAUCCUCCUAACUCGAGGUCUAGAGGCAAGCUUCUGCCCCAGCUUUCUUCAAAGGUGAAGAUCCUCCUAACUCGAGGUCUAGAGGCAAGCUUCUGCCCCAGCUUUCUUCAAAGGUAGAUGCUGUACAUUGGCCUCCCUACAGUUAGCCUGGGGUUAAGGAAAACUCCCAAGCAAUGACUUUUCCUUUAUGCUGCCUCCUAGGUUAUGAACUGCAGGGCAGAGCGAUGUUUCGGGUCUCCAUAGUGCCUACUAGUGCCUUAAUAGAGUGGUUAUAAAAUGAAUGAUGUGGAAUUUAUUUUUUUGAGACAGGAUCUUGCUAUAUAGCUCAGGCAGGCCUUGAACACACUAAGUAGAUCAGGCUGGCCUUAAACUCUUAGAAAUCCUGUCUCCGCCUCCCAUGUGCUGGAAUUACAGGUAUGUACCACCAUGCUUUGCUACGUAUAUUUAGUUAAAUUGGGGUGUUUCCAGGCAUGGUACUGCACACCUGUGAUCCUAGCAUUCUGGAGGCUGAGGCAGGAGGAUUGCUGAGAGAUCCAGGCCAGCCUGGACUACACAGAAAGACCCUGUCUCAAAAUACAAAAAGAAUAAAUAAAUAAAGAUGUUGCACAAAUUAAAACUUCAGCCUCCUUCUUGUGUGUGUGUGUGUGUGUGUGUGUGUGUGUGUGUGUGUGGUGCUUGAUCAAAUCAAGGGCCUUGCACAUGUUAGGCAAGUUCUCUAUCACUGAGCUCUCCCAGGCCUCACUUUUUCUCAAAAACUUUUAAACUGAGCAUGGUGGUUCAUGCCUGUAAUCCCAGCAUUCUGGGAGACUGAGGCAGAAGG